AAUGCGUGAUUUUCGGGAUAAAAGGGGGACUUUCCAGGAGAAAAUGUGUGAUUUUUGGAUUAAGUGAGGGAUAUUCAAGGUCAAAAUGUGUGACUUUCUGGUUUAAUGGGGGAUUUUCCAGGAGAAAAUGCAUGAGUUUUGGGUUAAAUGGGGGAUUUUUGAAGAGAAAAUACGUGAUUUUGGGGUUAAAUGGGGGAUUUUCCAAGAGAUAAUGCAUGAUUUUCGGGUUAAAUGGGCAAUUUUCAAACAGAAAAUGUGAUAUUUUCGGGUAAAGUUGCAGAUUUACAAAGAGAAAAUGCAUGAUUUUCAGUUAAAUGGGGGGUUUUUGAAGAGAAAAUGCGUGAUUCUCGGUAUAAAUGGGGAUUUUCGAUGAGAAAAUGUGUGAUUUUCGGUAUAAGAGGUGGAUUUUUUUUAGGAAAGUUUGAGGUUUUGGGGUUAAACGGGGUAUUUUCCAAGAGAAAACGCGUGAUUUUCUGGUUAAAUGGCGGAUUUUCCAAGAGAAA
ensembl:lncRNA